rnacentral:rRNA from 1 species
UACAGAGGUGGCAAGCGUUGUUCGGAAUUACUGGGCGUAAAGGGCGCGUAGGCGGCCUUCUAAGUCAGACGUGAAAUCCCCGGGCUCAACCCGGGAACUGCGUCCGAUACUGGCAGGCUUGAAUCCGGGAGAGGGAUGUGGAAUUCCAGGUGUAGCGGUGAAAUGCGUAGAUAUCUGGAGGAACACCGGUGGCGAAGGCGGCAUCCUGGACCGGUAUUGACGCUGAGGCGCGAAAGCCAGGGGAGCAAACGGG